GCCCGAGUGGCGUAACUGGCAGACGCGCCGGACUUAAAAUCCUGUGGGACCUAAUCUCGUACCGGUUCGAUUCCGGUCUCGGGCA
rfam:Epulopiscium sp. SCG-B11WGA-EpuloA1 SCGB11WGA_39, whole genome shotgun sequence.